rnacentral:rRNA from 1 species
AACGAACGCUGGCGGCAGGCUUAACACAUGCAAGUCGAACGCCCCGCAAGGGGAGUGGCAGACGGGUGAGUAACACGUGGGAACAUGCCCAAAGGUACGGAAUAUUCUCGGGAAACUGGGAGCAAUACCGUAUGUGCCCGAAAGGGGAAAGAUUUAUCGCCUUUGGAUUGGCCCGCGUUGGAUUAGCUAGUUGGUGGGGUAAAAGCCUACCAAGGCGACGAUCCAUAGCUGGUCUGAGAGGACGACCAGUCACACUGGGACUGAGACACGGCCCAGACUCCUACGGGAGGCAGCAGUGGGGAAUCUUGGACAAUGGGCGCAAGCCUGAUCCAGCCAUGCCGCGUGAGUGAUGAAGGCCCUAGGGUUGUAAAACUCUUUCGUGGGGGACGAUAAUGACGGUACCCCAAGAAGAAGCUCCGGCUAACUUCGUGCCAGCAGCCGCGGUAACAC